UACGAAAGGGGGCUAGCGUUGCUCGGAAUCACUGGGCGUAGAGGGCGCGUAGGCGGCCAUUCAAGUCGGGGGUGAAAGCCUGUGGCUCAACCACAGAAUUGCCUUCGAUACUGUUUGGCUUGAGUUUGGUAGAGGUUUGGUGGAACUGCGAGUGUAGAGGUGAAAUUCGUAGAUAUUCGCAAGAACACCAGUGGCGAAGGCGGCCAACUGGACCAACACUGACG
rnacentral:rRNA from 1 species